UUAAUCAUGAAUGACUAUUUUGUGUAGAGAUAUACAUGUAUUUACAUUCAUUAAUGCCUCAAAUACUUUAUGAAUAUUAUAUGAGAGGUGAAAGCAGGGAUUUGUAUUCAGUUAGUUAAUUUAUACUUUCAUAUUCUCUUCAUUUGAGUAUUCUUCGUCCUCAUAUUGCCUUGUACUCUUCUUUCCUAAUAAUUUUUCUUUUGUUGAUGAUCAAAAAAUAAAAUAAAAUAAAGGGUAGUAUAACGUGGUUAAUUUCAGUUCCAGGUUACCCUUCUGCAAUUUGCUGGUUUUCUUCUGCCAUGUUAUGUGAUGAUCCGCUCGUGCUACAUUAUACAAAGCCGAAGGAGAAGACAGUUUCUCCAAGGAUAGGAAGGAAGGUAUCAAUUGUUGGGGGACCCUUUCCGGUGACCAAAGCAUCCUAAUACUCUCCAUGGGAGCACUUGUUUUUUGUACACUGCUUUUGUCUCUGGGUUGUAUUUAAAUCAGAAGUUGGCAUGAAUGUCUGAGAAAUUUACUGCAGUAAAUCCUUGUAGCUCUUCCUUAAAGCUACCCGUGAACUCUUGAAAGAAAAUGUAAAUAACAAGAUUGAGUUCAUCAGGCCCUUUAAUCUACUAUUUUCCUUUUGCUGCCCUCA